UUCUGGUUGAUCCUGCCGGACCUGACUGCUAUCGGAUUGAUACUAAGCCAUGCGAGUCAUUGUAGCAAUACAAGGCAUACGGCUCAGUAACGCGUAGUCAACCUAACCUAUGGACGGGAAUAACCUCGGGAAACUGAGAAUAAUGCCCGAUAGAACAUUAUGCCUGGAAUGGUUUAUGUUCCAAAUGAUUUAUCGCCGUAGGAUGGGACUGCGGCCUAUCAGUUUGUUGGUGAGGUAAUGGCCCACCAAGACUAUUACAGGUACGGGCUCUGAGAGGAGUAGCCCGGAGAUGGGUACUGAGACACGGACCCAGGCCCUAUGGGGCGCAGCAGGCGAGAAAACUUUGCAAUGUGCGAAAGCACGACAAGGUUAAUCCGAGUGGUUUCUGCUAAAGGAACCUUUUGUCAGUCCUAGAAACACUGAUGAAUAAGGGGUGGGCAAGUUCUGGUGUCAGCCGCCGCGGUAAAACCAGCACCUCAAGUGGUCAGGAUGAUUAUUGGGCCUAAAGCAUCCGUAGCCGGCUCUGUAAGUUUUCGGUUAAAUCUGUACGCUCAGCGUACAGGCUGCCGGGAAUACUGCAGAGCUAGGGAGUGGGAGAGGUAGACGGUACUCGGUAGGAAGGGGUAAAAUCCUUUGAUCUAUUGAUGACCACCUGUGGCGAAGGCGGUCUACCAGAACACGUCCGACGGUGAGGGAUGAAAGCUGGGGGAGCAAACCGGAUUAGAUACCCGGGUAGUCCCAGCUGUAAACUAUGCAAACUCAGUGAUGCAUUGGCUUGUGGCCAAUGCAGUGCUGCAGGGAAGCCGUUAAGUUUGCCGCCUGGGAAGUACGUACGCAAGUAUGAAACUUAAAGGAAUUGGCGGGGGAGCACCACAAGGGGUGAAGCCUGCGGUUCAAUUGGACUCAACGCCGGGA
rnacentral:rRNA from 1 species